UACGAAGGGGGCUAGCGUUGCUCGGAAUCACUGGGCGUAAAGGGUGCGUAGGCGGGUCUUUAAGUCAGGGGUGAAAUCCUGGAGCUCAACUCCAGAACUGCCUUUGAUACUGAAGAUCUUGAGUUCGGGAGAGGUGAGUGGAACUGCGAGUGUAGAGGUGAAAUUCGUAGAUAUUCGCAAGAACACCAGUGGCGAAGGCGGCUCACUGGCCCGAUACUGACGCUGAGGCACGAAAGCGAUGGGGAGCAAACAGGG
rnacentral:rRNA from 1 species